rnacentral:rRNA from 1 species
UACGGAGGGUGCAAGCGUUGUUCGGAAUCAUUGGGCGUAAAGGGCGCGUAGGCGGGACGUUAAGUCCGAUGUGAAAUCCCUCGGCUCAACUGAGGACGUGCAUCGGAUACUGGCGACCUUGAGUCCUGGAGAGGGUAGCGGAAUUCCCAGUGUAGAGGUGAAAUUCGUAGAUAUUGGGAGGAACACCGGUGGCGAAGGCGGCUACCUGGACAGUGACUGACGCUGAGGCGCGAAAGCGUGGGGAGCGAACAGG